rnacentral:rRNA from 1 species
GAUGAACGCUGGCGGCGUGCCUAAUACAUGCAAGUCGAGCGAACAGAUGAGGAGCUUGCUCCUCUGACGUUAGCGGCGGACGGGUGAGUAACACGUGGAUAACCUACCUAUAAGACUGGGAUAACUUCGGGAAACCGGAGCUAAUACCGGAUAAUAUAUUGAACCGCAUGGUUCAAUAGUGAAAGACGGUUUUGCUGUCACUUAUAGAUGGAUCCGCGCCGCAUUAGCUAGUUGGUAAGGUAACGGCUUACCAAGGCAACGAUGCGUAGCCGACCUGAGAGGGUGAUCGGCCACACGGGAACUGAGACACGGUCCAGACUCCUACGGGAGGGAGCAGGAGGGAAUCUUCCGCAAUGGGCGAAAGCCUGACGGAGCAACGCCGCGGGAGUGAAGAAGGUUCUCGGAUCGUAAAACCCUGUUAUUAGGGAAGAACAAAUGUGUAAGUAACUAUGCACGUCUUGACGGUACCUAAUCAGAAAGCCACGGCUAACUACGUG